rnacentral:rRNA from 1 species
CCUACGGGAGACAGCAGUGGGGAAUUUUGCGCAAUGCUCGUAAGAGUGACGCAGCGACGCCGCGUGAAUGACGAAGGCCUUCGGGUUGUAAAGCUCUUUCGACAGGGAAGAAAAUGCCUAUAAGUAACUGUGUAUGUAUUGACGGUACCUGUAUAAGCAGCCCCGGCUAACUCCGUGCCAGCAGCCGCGGUAAUACGGAGGGGGCGAGCGUUGUUCGGAGUGACUGGGCGUAAAGAGCACGUAGGCGGUGUUGUAAGUCAUUAGUCAAAGACUAGAGCUCAACUUUAGUAAGGCUAGUGAAACUAUAAUACUAGAGUAUCAGAGAGGAAUGCAGAAUUCCUGGUGUAGCGGUGAAAUGCGUAGAUAUCAGGAGGAAUACCGUUAGCGAAGGCGGCAAUCUGGCUGGAAACUGACGCUGAGGUGCGAAAGCGUGGGUAGCAAACAGGAUUAGAUACCCCGGUAGUC